rnacentral:rRNA from 1 species
GUAGGUGGCAAGCGUUGUCCGGAAUUAUUGGGCGUAAAGCGCGCGCAGGUGGUUCCUUAAGUCUGAUGUGAAAGCCCCCGGCUCAACCGGGGAGGGUCAUUGGAAACUGGGGAACUUGAGUGCAGGAGAGGAAAGUGGAAUUCCACGUGUAGCGGUGAAAUGCGUAGAUAUGUGGAGGAACACCAGUGGCGAAGGCGACUUUCUGGCCUGUAACUGACACUGAGGCGCGAAAGCGUGGGGAGCAAACAGGGAUUAGAUACCCUGGUAGUCCACGCCGUAAACGAUGAGUGCUAAGUGUUGGGGGGGGUUUCCCGCCCCGUCAGUGCUGCAGCUAACGCAUUAAGCACUCCGCCUGGGGAGUACGGUCGCAAGACUG